rnacentral:lncRNA from 1 species
GGUAAGACCAUGAAAAUUAUAUUUUAUAUCAAUAUUUUUACUUCUAAUAAUUAAGAUUGAAAAAUAGUUUAUGUUGUUUGUGUUAUAUUUUUGUUUUAUAUUUUACAGUAUAUUACUAAUUUGUUUUUAUUAUGUAGACUGAUUCUAUGUUGGGUCUUGUGUUGGAUGCUCGUCGUGCUUUAUCUACGAUUGGUGAGGAC